rnacentral:rRNA from 2 species
ACGGGUGAGUAAUGUAUCGGAACGUGCCCAAUCGUGGGGGAUAACGUAGAGAAAUUUACGCUAAUACCGCAUACGAUCUAAGGAUGAAAGCGGGGGAUCGCAAGACCUCGCGCGAUUGGAGCGGCUGAUAUCAGAUUAGGUUGUUGGUGAGGUAAAAGCUCACCAAGCCGACGAUCUGUAGCUGGUUUGAGAGAACGACCAGCCACACUGGGACUGAGACACGGCCCAGACUCCUACGGGAGGCAGCAGUGGGGAAUUUUGGACAAUGGGCGCAAGCCUGAUCCAGCAAUGCCGCGUGCAGGAAGAAGGCCUUCGGGUUGUAAACUGCUUUUGUACGGAACGAAACGGUUCUUUCUAAUAAAGAGAGCUAAUGACGGUACCGUAAGAAUAAGCACCGGCUAACUACGUGCCAGCAGCCGCGGUAAUACGUAGGGUGCGAGCGUUAAUCGGAAUUACUGGGCGUAAAGCGUGCGCAGGCGGUUAUGUAAGACAGUUGUGAAAUCCCCGGGCUCAACCUGGGAAUUGCAUCUGUGACUGCAUAGCUAGAGUACGGUAGAGGGGGAUGGAAUUCCGCGUGUAGCAGUGAAAU